rnacentral:tRNA from 1 species
GCGGGAGUGGCGAAAUGGCGAGACGCACCGGGCUCAAACCCCGGCGAGCAGCAGCUCAUGCAGGUUCGACUCCUGUCUCCCGUAC